rnacentral:lncRNA from 1 species
UUUGAUAGGAAAUUUCUCAUUCUUCACUAUAAAUACCAUACAAAUUAUUUGAUAGUUAAUUUCACAACCAAAGAACUAUAGCCUUGCUGUCUCCGAUAGCAAUGUAUCAAAUUCUCACCUACCACCUUGCAUUCAAGUCCCUUAACAUUGCCCAAAUCUCCUCUCACACGUUCUCUACUUCAUUCAUCCGAAUAGUGGUAUUACUCGUAUACAACACUUACCCUCUCCAACCAAAAGAAGUGCGUUUGAACCUCAGGACAAGGUCCUCUAUAAUCACCGGUUUUAUUUGAUGGGCAUUACCGUGAGUAACACUUAUCCUCUCUUGUGAAAAGAUUGGCUUGAGAACCUCUACAAUGAUCGGUCUCUCUCCCCUCCCAAAAACCAUAUAUGGAAGCCAUCAUAUAAAUUCUCUUGGCAAAAGAAUCACGUGCAAGCCUCAGGACAAGUCCUCCACAAUCACAGGUCUCUUCCUCUCCCAAAAUCAUAUUUGGAAAUCAAUGUAUAAAUCAAGUUAUCUUGAAUCUUAAUUAUCAUGAAGAACUGACAACAAAGAAAAAGAGACCAUGAGUUUAUAAAAUAUUUUCCAAAAUCAGCCUAUCCGCAAUUGAUGUUAGUUUAUAAUACCUUUUUCUUAAGACCACAUGUAUAAAUGUUUUUUGACACUAACGAUGUAUGCUAUAGUUAUCAAAAGAAAAUUCUAAAAAUGCAUAUUGCUGUUGAAUCCAAGUCAAGUAUGAACGUCUUAAGCAUACUGUCAGUCCCGCUGCCCACUUAACAAGGUUUCCUUCACCUUGAGAAAUGACAUCUUCUUUUUCUCUUAGCACCACAAGCACCACAAAGAAGAGGAAGAAGAAUGACGGCUUUUAAGUCAAUCCAAUGAAGUUUUUCCAAAGUGGAGGGAAAAAGUUUCCAGCUUUACUAGUUAGUGGAAUGACACUUAAUCCAAUGAAGUUUUUUCAAAGUGGAGGGAAAAAGUUUCCAGCUUUACUAGUUAGUGGAAUGACACUUAAUCCAAUGAAGUUUUUUCAAAGUGGAGGGAAAAAGUUUCCAGCUUUGCUAGUUAGUGGAAUGACGCUUUGAGAUAGUCAUGAAGAUUGUGAACAGCUAGGAGAUAAGUGGGAGAUGAUGAAAAGGUUAGGCUAUCAAUGGUAAGGAAAAGCAUUAACACCAGGCCAGAUCUAUAAAGUUGUACAUUCAAUAGUUCAUUGUCAUGGACUCAUGGUGGCCUUCAAUUACUUUUGCAUUCUUUAUUAUUUGCCUUGCACGAGGGUUUAAAAUUUUCUCAACGGAUACAAGUACUUCUCUCUUUGCAAUUAUUAUUGAAGGCACCUCAUUUUUUACAAAUGUUUGGC